AACGAACGCUGGCGGCAUGCCUAGCACAUGCCAGUCGAACGAGACCUUCGGGUCUAGUGGCGCACGGGUGCGUAACGCGUGGGAACCUGCCCUUAGGUUCGGAAUAACUCCCCGAAAGGGGUGCUAAUACCGGAUAAUGUCUUCGGACCAAAGAUUUAUCGCCUUUGGAUGGGCCCGCGUUGGAUUAGCUAGUUGGUAGGGUAAAAGCCUACCAAGGCGACGAUCCAUAGCUGGUCUGAGAGGAUGAUCAGCCACACUGGGACUGAGACACGGCCCAGACUCCUACGGGAGGCAGCAGUGGGGAAUAUUGGACAAUGGGCGAAAGCCUGAUCCAGCAAUGCCGCGUGAGUGAUGAAGGCCUUAGGGUUGUAAAGCUCUUUUACCCGGGAUGAUAAUGACAGUACCGGGAGAAUAAGCUCCGGCUAACUCCGUG
rnacentral:rRNA from 1 species